CUUUCAAACUGCUUGAAUCUUCUUGUAUGGUGGAUCGCCGGACUUACUGUCAACUAGGAGAUGCUGUGUCUCCUGUUGGUGAAGUGCUGUGGCAGCCAUGGGAUAGAGCUACAAACAAUGCCUUAGAAUCUAAAGGCAGAUGCACAGCGUGGGACUAAAAGUAAUGCUGAAUGCCGACUGAUGGGGCAUGUGGAGCAGCUGGGCUGCUUGGGGCAGCAGACAACUUGCAGUAAACUGAGACUUCCCUGGUGUAAUCCUCGCAUGCCGGAUAGAUUGCCUGGGUCGUCAGUACACCGCAAUGGUGCAACUCUGUCGGCUCAACCUGAUUUAAGGCAAUAGGUCGCAUUGGGCUCAAUCUCCACACUGUCUUUGAGGCGUGCUCCUGCUAAGUUAAUGAGGUGUUAGGUGUCAAAUCGUUGAGUGUUUGAGGGCUCUCGCGGACAUUUUGAGCCCAUUUUGAGCCCUUUCCGCAAGUCAGCAUUAGAUGUAGACUGCCCUAGGGGAUUAUCCACAAUUCAUUGCAAUGUGCCAUUAAACACGAGGUAACCGGUGGUAUCAUAAAGAUGUAAAUGGAGAAUGGCACAUAUCGGAUGCACAGCGUGGGACUAAAAGUAAUGCUGCAGUCCGACUGAUGAAGCAUGUGGAGCAGCUGGCCUGCUUGCAGUGGACUGAGACUUCAUGGUGUUUAGUGUAAUCCUGCCAGGCCGGAUAAGUUCCUUUCAGUCCACCCGCUGGGAUCUGCCUAGGUUGUCAGUACACCGCCAAGGCUCAACCUGAUCAAGACUGUAACAUACAACACUCGGUCUUAGAGCUCCUUCUAGUCUAUGAGGUCUUGGGGAUGUCCAAAAAAACCUGCUCAAAACCAAAAACCAGUAACUGGAUUAUUUGAAAUGACCUCAUCUUGUGAGGAAAGAGCCUCCAAGACAUUCCAAUAGGAGAGUAAAAAGUAUAAAAAAUGGCCACAAUUAUCUAACCGUGCUGCUGCAACAUUGCCUUUGUUUGGCGCUGCCUGUAUAUAAAUGACUGUCUUGAAGACCCCUUUUCAACCCCAAAGGUUACUAGGAUUUGAUUGCUCCAUCUACAGGAAGUGCUUGUUUUCUGAUCAUGUCAAUGUUAAUGUCUCUGUAAUAAACUUAGUUUGGUACCCAA